GUCACAAUUUACCCAAGAUCAGCACAACCAGGUCUGUAUGGCAGCCUCUGACAUGUCCAAGGUAUUCUACCUGAAGGGCUGAUGUGGACUGUCCUCUCAUCCUUCAUUGAUUAUCUGCUCAACUGGCAGAUGGUUGACCCCCUCCACCCAUCCUGAGAGGUUUCCCUGGACUAGACAUGCUUUUCUGCCUGCCCAUCACCAUUGCCAAAUCAGGCAUCCAAAUUUGUGUCACAUGACUCUCUUUUCUCUCCUGGCCAUUCCUGACCGCAUCAGAAAAGGUAUCUCAGGGAGAUGGUGGGGAUGCACCCAACAAAGGAAGGAUGGAAGAGAU
rnacentral:lncRNA from 1 species